UACGGAGGAUCCAAGCGUUAUCCGGAAUCAUUGGGGUUAAAGGGUCCGUAGGCGGUUUAGUAAGUCAGUGGUGAAAGCCCAUCGCUCAACGGUGGAACGGCCAUUGAUACUGCUAGACUUGAAUUAUUAGGAAGUAACUAGAAUAUGUAGUGUAGCGGUGAAAUGCUUAGAGAUUACAUGGAAUACCAAUUGCGAAGGCAGGUUACUACUAAUGGAUUGACGCUGAUGGACGAAAGCGUGGGUAGCGAACAGG
rnacentral:rRNA from 1 species